UUGGAUCAUUACUAAUCAUAUUCUGUCUACAGAACAACUGCAGGAUAUAGCAUUUGCUUUUACUUUAUACGACUAAGCUUUAUACAUGCAAAUUUUGUUUCCAAAAUAAGGCUUACUGUCAGGACAACAUGCAAACAUGCCACUGGCUUGCUAUAGAUUUGAGGAUUUCUCUGCAACUGCUAAAGAGGGACUCAAGUCCUGCUUUCCAAGAGGCAUGCAAGUGGAAGGAGGGGUAAUAAGGAAGUGAUCUCACAUGCCCAAAGCUAAAAAGAGGGUGUAUAGAAAUGAAGAACAGAGCUAAACUAUGGAUCAGAACUACUAAACCAAAGGAGAGAUGUAAGAGGAAAUGAGGGAAGCUCAACUCUUGCUAGUUGCUCCUGAGCUCUGCCCUCCCUCCAUGACAGUCAAGGUGGUCAUGGCAGCACACACAGGUGGAGGCAACUUUUGCCCAUACAGCUGUUUCUCAUUGCACCUGGGGGAAAGGCAGGGAGCUAGAGAGAAGCAGUCUGCUGACCAGUGGGUUUGGGCUGUGACUGCAAAGGAUCAGACUUUCAGUGCAGACAAGCUUAGGCACAAAGUUUCAGGAGAAAUAUCACAAUAGAACUGGGAUGUAUGAGGCAUCUCACAGGGGCCAAAGACUGAAUUGCAUUCCCUUUUCAUUGAAGUCAAGGAAAGCCUUGAGGACAGCCAAAUACAGCAACUCUGUGCUUAUUUCUCCAGGCACCUCUGUUCAGACUUUCUUCCCAGAAAAUUAAAACCUUUCUGUUGCGGAUAUGAGCUCCUAGAGAAGCUCUCCAUUUCACACCAUCUUUUGCCAUCGGCAGUUGCUUGUGUACAAUAAGCUUUGUCAAGCAUGCCACGUGCUGCAGAAAAAUCACGUCUCUCAUAACCCUCCAGUACUAGUCCAGAGUAAAUCUUCAUUCUGUACAGCUCAUGUCUCCUGGAAAUCCAUCUAAGAAGACAAAUUAGAAAAAUGCUACUCUUGAGUGGUUAUAUUUUAUGGCAAUAUAUUUAUUUGUGAUAGGAGCAAUUUACUUAGGAUUGUUCUUGCUAUAGUCCAUAUCAUUUGCUUGAGCCAUGAAUAAAUAAAUGAUUGUGAUGCCA